AGGUUGCAAGUGCAACAUCAACAUUUGCAAUGUAUAUUUUCAUCAUCAAUGUCCAUCAUAUAAUAUUAUCUUCUUGAUCGCUUCCCUAUCCCAUACGCUGUCUGCUUUGUUUUUCUGGCAACUGUGGCUGCCUUCACUGGUCAGCACAUUGUUAGAAGGUUGAUGGUACUCCUAGGCCGAGCAUCGCUGAUCAUCUUCAUGCUGGCUUUGACCAUCUUUGUGAGUGCAAUUAGUUUAGGUGGUGUUGGUAUUGCACACAUGGUAGAGAAGCUGGAAGGGAAGGAGCAUAUGAGUUUCGAGAACUUAUGCUACCUCUCCAAAUCACUUCAGCUCAAAGUCUUUCAAAGUUUUAAAGAUGUAAUAGUGAUAUUUAUGUCUUUCUUUUUCCUACAGCUAGGUAUUUGUCUACUUGAAUCUUGAGUCUGUUGGUAAGGUGGUGAAAUCUUUGUUCUUGUAACCAUGGUAGUUGAAACUUGGCAUCCUUUCUUCUAUAUACAAAAGUAGAUGCUUAAUCUGUGCAGAAAUUGUAGCAUAAUAUCUAA